AAGCAGCGGAGCGUGUGGUUUAAGUUUACGUAUGUUACUACGAAGAACCUUACCAGGGUUUGACAUGCAAGUGGUAGGAAGCCGAAAGGUGACCGACCUUCGGGAGCUUGCACAGGUGCUGCAUGGCUGUCGUCAGCUCGUGUCGUGAGAUGUUCGGUUAAGUCCGCUAACGAGCGCAACCCUCGCUGUGUGUUAUAUGUGUCACACGGGGACUGCCGGUCUUAAGCCGGAGGAAGGUGGGGAUGACGUCAAGUCCUCAUGGCCUUUAUGUCUAGGGCUACACACGUGCUACAAUGGGUGGUACAAAGAGCAGCUAACUCGCGAGAGUAUGCAAAUCUCAAAAGGCCAUCCUCAGUUCGGAUUGGAGUCUGCAACUCGACUCCAUGAAGUUGGAAUCGCUAGUAAUCGCGGAUCAGCAUGCCCGCGGUCGAAUACGUUCCGGGCCUU
rnacentral:rRNA from 1 species